UACGUAGGGGGCAAGCGUUGUCCGGAUUUAUUGGGCGUAAAGAGCGUGUAGGCGGUUUGGUAGGUCCGCUGUGAAAAACUCGAGGCUCAACCUCGAGACGCCGGUGGAAACCAUCAGACUAGAGUCCGGAAGAGGAGAGUGGAAUUCCUGGUGUAGCGGUGAAAUGCGCAGAUAUCAGGAAGAACACCCGUGGCGAAAGCGGCUCUCUGGAACGGUACUGACGCUGAGACGCGAAAGCGUGGGGAGCGAACAGG
rnacentral:rRNA from 1 species